UAAUGUAUGGGGAUCUGCCCGAUAGAGGGGGGUAACUACUGGAAACGGUGGCUAAUACCGCAUAAUGUCUACGGACCAAAGCAGGGGCUCUUCGGACCUUGCACUAUCGGAUGAACCCAUAUGGGAUUAGCUAGUAGGUGGGGUAAAGGCUCACCUAAGCGACGAUCUCUAGCUGGUCUGAGAGGAUGAUCAGCCACACUGGGACUGAGACACGGCCCAG
rnacentral:rRNA from 1 species